rnacentral:tRNA from 1 species
GGCGGUAGCUCAAUUGGAUAGAGCACAGGCCUUCUAAGCCUGGGGUUACGGGUUCGAUUCCUGUCCGCC